AGUUAUGUAAUGGAAUUGAAUGAAGCAAGUGUCAGAUCUACAUCUCUACAAACACUCACUUUAUCAGUUCAGAGAAUAAAGAGAUGAAUUUAAUAAUGCCACUGGACACUUAUACUCUAUCGGAUCCUAAUAAUUUCUCACACUAAUGAAUUCUUCUAUCAACUUCAUGUUAAUCAAGAGGAGACAGAGCCAAGAAGUGAGUAAUUGCUUACUGAAUUGUGAAAGCUGGGAUGAUUUAACUACAGCCUCCCUAGAAUGUGACAGUCCACAGAAAUAUCUGAUUUCAAAGAGAUGCUUGCAUUCUGUACUGAUGCCAUCUAGAAUUGUAAAUGACCAGUGUCACACUGCUAAGUGGAGAAAGCGUGAAAGAAGAAUCCCAUCAGUACAUUCACGAUAGAGGAAAUAAGAAACAAUGAAAGCCACAAGUUUACUCGAAGGCAGCAAAAUUGGCCCUACUCCCAACCCUGCAACAUGCACCAUUUCCAUAAACAAUCUACAGAGAUGGCUGAGAAAAAGAAAAAGGGGUACUCUCCUUUACCCCUUCUCCAAAGCCCGAUGAAGUAAAGAGUAGAAAUCAAGAGUGUCUACAAGAAUUGGGGAUUGGCAUUGAUUCUCCACUGUGUGAUUACUCAUGCUUUAUGGCAAUGUGCCUAUUUAAAGGGCAGGUAAUGACUUAGCAAGAAGGAAGGAGAGAGAAUGUCAAACUCACCUGAAGUCUUACCAAUUGGUGUGGCAGGUAUGUGGCUGUUUCCCAUGAGUGAAUACACUAUAAGAUUAUUAGGCUCUAGCUGUUUUGCUUGUAUCUAAUCCAGGUGACACCAGCAUUUAGAGACUAUGAGGUGUACUGGGAGCUGAGAUAAUGAAAGAGGUAGCAUUAAAGUAAUAUCCCCCAAAUUAUGGCAGAUCUAUGGUUAGAAGCCUAAGAAUAACAUGUGAAAACCUCAUGUCAGAGCCUGACAAUAUACCAGAAUUUGGAUACCUGCCAUACAGAAGGUACCAGCCGCCAAGGGGUAACUGUCAGAAAAGUGACAACAAUCACAAGUUGGGAAAAGGACUUGUCUCUUUGCCCCUCACUCCUCUCUGUGCCCAAUAAUUUGGAUGAGCUAUUGCCUACAGAAUGAAAGGAGAGUUGUAGGGCUAUGAAUCAAAUAUGAGACAAGUUUUAAAUGAGAAGAAAGUAACAUUUAAUAAGCAAAAAUGCCCAGAGAACUAUGGAAUCAUCCCAAGAAAGGAUUAAUAAACAAAAAUUGGAUUCAAUAGAAAACACAUCAGAGAAAAAAGUUAAUAUUUUUAUACCAUAGAUGUGAGAGUCCUUAAUGCACUAGUUACAGCAUAUUAGUGCAUUAUGUACAUUCCAUGUGACUCUCUUAUUACCACUAUACCCACAAUGCUUAGAACUGGGUCCUCAAUAAUCGAGUAUGGGUGGCUAAAGGACUUUUCAUUUUAUGUGGCAGAGGAUAAUAAUAAAAAAAGAAAUAAUAGAGGAAGAAACUGGCUUUGGUGUUCUAGACAUAUUAGGGCUGAAACCCAAAUAUUCAGUUACCUGUUUUGCUUGGCCUACAUCCAUUUUCAGCAGUGCACUCAAAGUCUCCAAAGAAAUUUGCAGAGAAUUUCUUCCAGUAGCCCCAAGAGUUCUCAGCAUAAGUACUGGAAAAACUCACUAGCAUGGAGGAUGCUUCUCUCCAGUGGAAUCAACAGUGGCCUCUGCUGAUUCAGAGACUUCAGUGUUCCACAGUGAAACUAGAUUGUGAUGAGAGCAAAUAUGGCUGGAAGGCAACACUGCUCAGGUGGUUAGAGCGUGAGUUCUGUAGUAUCAAGGAGCUUUUUUCUCAGUGUGUCUGUCAGUGGAGAAUUUGGGGGAAAGAUCAAAUCAAAUUGCUAAAUAAAACAUAAAGCCCCACAGAGAUGGAAGCCAGCAAUAUGUGUAUGCUGUGGUUUGGGUGCCCCCUUUACCUUCCAGAAUGUCUUUGAACUGCAUGUUGAGCUGGUUUCACCUGGGUGAAAACAUGAGGGAAAAGGAAGUAAGGGAAGGAUGGACAGAUAGUGGUAGAGACUGAUGACCACUUCAAGUAAGUGUGCUAUCAGGAGAAUAACUCUCCCAUGUCUUCAUAGGAGUCAGUGAACAGUCACCUGUUGUAUAGAAUCACCCAUGGGCAGUCACUGGUUACCAGCAGCAGCACCAACCAACCACCUGAGAAUUACACCAAUGGUCAGUUAGGCAAAGAGACAUCUGCCUCCCUCUCCUCUUCCCCAACACUUAGAUUUUACUUAUCACUGAUUCUUGCAUAGAAAUGGUUCUGACUGGUGAAAACAAAGAGAAAAAUAUGUUGAAGGAAGUACCUAUGAACCUAAUUAUUAUUUUACUCAUUUUUUUCUCCAAAGUCUAUUGAUAAAUAAUGUUUUCAGUGUCAACUUUGACUUUAUUUUCAAUAUACAAAGUCAAACUAAAAACUUUCGUAUUUCAGGUUGAAAUUUAUAGUGUAACUCUUUACUUUUAAUGGCUUCCAGUUGUUCUAUUUUGGUUUCUGGCAGAAAUCCUUUUGGUAUGUUACAUAGAAAUAUAGAUAGAUAAAGGAAAGCCAAUUAUCUUUUCUUUACAGAGAAAUAUCCUGAAUGCUGUAAGUUGAGGGGAAUGGCAGGGUAUGUACUGGUAUGACUGGCCAAUACAGAAUCUAGUCUAGCUGAGAUAUGGCUUUUAGUAGGAAGCCUCAUAGGGAACAUGAUGGAGGAAAAUCCUUUCAUUUAUGGUAUCAAGAGAUUUUCAUUUUAAUCCCAGCUAUAUUUUACAUCAAUGUUGUCAUGCAUUCUAUCUUCUCUGGGCUUGAGAUAUACAAGAUGAGGAUGCUGAUUUAGCAGAAGUUCAAGCAUCCUUUCCAAGGUGAACAUCUAUGACCACUCAGUGUUGAGAAUUACUUCAGACUAUUAUUAACACUAUUAUUAACCAAAGGAAGGACCCCCCUGAUUACUGAUCAGUUCUCCAGUCCAUUGGGAAAUCCUUCUAAAGGCCAUUUCAUUUCAGACUGAAAUGUACAAAUGUAUAAAGAGUGGAAAAGACAUCAAAACUAAAAAUACUAUGUUAAACUUUGUUCCAUAUAGGACAAUACAUCAAAGAUUAAAGUUAGGUUGAAAGCAAAGUUCUAUGAGGAUAAGAACGGAGUCUGUCUUAUUUAUUGUUUUAUUGUCAGUGCUCAGCUCAGAAUGACAUUUAAGAAGUGUUUAAAUGACUAUUGGCUGAAUUAUUAAAUGCAGAUAAUUGGUUACAGUGAAAAAAAAAAAGUUUGUGGGAAAAAAAACUGCGUAGCUGGAUUCCUGUGAUCCCACAUCAUCCCAACCCUGUAAGUUCAGGGUCCAGGCCAAUAUAAACAUGAGACAGAAUAUAAUAAUGCAGUAUCUGCCUCAGAAUCUAGGCAGCAAGACCCACAGCACUUUGCCCCUUGAGUGACCACUGCAUUACUUCAUUGGAUCCCCAGUCCUUCUUGAUACCAGAGUGAGUAGGAGUUAUUUAAUUCCAGUGCUGACUACUAGCCUUCUCUAGUCAAAGCUGACCCUCUGUUGCAGACAAUUCACCUCUAAUCCCUCAUUUCAGAGUCUUCUCUCUCCCUAUUGUUAUGAGUGCCACUUACAGUCAGGUUUCUGCUUUAAUCACUGCUUUAUAUUCUGACUUAAGUCAGUUGCCAGCUUCUACCGUAUCCCAGUGGUGAUUGUACACUUAAGUAGAUUUCUUAGAGUCCCAUAAUUAUGUAAAGACGCCCCUCACCUAAAUCCCAAUCCAAAGGCCAAGGCCCCAUUAUCCAUCAUCAGCAGUUUCAUCCACACAAUUUUAUCUUAUUACCUAGAAUUCUGAAUUUGCACAUCGGCUUUCCCAUCCUGUUGCUCUUUUUGGAGCUGCUUUCUAUGCAGAAUUCUUGCUGUCUUGCUCUUCUGAUGGAAUCUCCACCUAUGGACAGGGCUGAUGGGCACAGUAACCUAAAUCUUCCUUAGCUUGGUAUAAAUAAAUUAUUACAUUUGCCAGGUUGUCCUGAGUUGUAAUAAUAAGUCAUUCAUUGCACCUAUACGAGCAACUAACAUCGCUUUUCAUUUUUAAUCUAUGUGAACAUGAUCUGACAAGAAUAUUAAAUAUUCAGACCCUAAAUUUUCAA